GAGUUUGAUCAUGGCUCAGAACGAACGCUGGCGGCAGGCCUCAAACAUGCAAGUCUAGGGGGCGUAGCAAUACGUCACCGGCGGACGGGUGCGUAACACGUGGGAAUAUACCUUUUGGUUCGGAACAACGCAGGGAAACUUGCGCUAAUACCGAAUGUGUCCUUACGGAGAAAGAUUUAUCGCCAAAGGAUUAGCCCGCGUUCGAUUAGCUAGUUGGUGAGGUAAUGGCUCACCAAGGCAACGAUCGAUAGCUGUUCUGAGAGGAAGAUCAGCCACACUGGGACUGAGACACGGCCCAGACUCCUACGGGAGGCAGCAGUUGGGAAUCUUGGACAAUGGGGGAAACCCUGAUCCAGCCAUGCCGCGUGAGUGAUGAAGGCCUUCGGGUUGUAAAGCUCUUUUACCCGGGAAGAUAAUGACUGUACCGGGAGAAUAAGCUCCGGCUAACUUCGUGCCAGCAGCCGCGGUAAUACGAAGGGGGCUAGCGUUGUUCGGAAUUACUGGGCGUAAAGCGCGCGCAGGCGGUUUCUCAAGUCAGUGGUGAAAGCCCGGAGCUCAACUCCGGAACUGCCAUUGAAACUGUGAAACUUGAGGACGAGAGAG
rnacentral:rRNA from 1 species